rnacentral:rRNA from 1 species
AUGCAAGUCGAACGAAGUAGCAAUACUUAGUGGCAGACGGGUGAGUAACAUGUAGGUAUCUGCCCUUUGGCCUGGAAUAACACGAGGAAACUUGUGCUAAUACCGGAUAAGUCUUUACGGAGAAAGCUUAACGCACCAUUGGAUGAGCCUGCACUUGAUUAGUUUGUUGGUGGGGUAAUGGCCUACCAAGACUGUGAUCAAUAGCUGAUUUGAGAGGAUGAUCAGCCACAUUGGGACUGAGACACGGCCCAAACUCCUACGGGAGGCAGCAGUGGGGAAUCUUGCACAAUGGAGGAAACUCUGAUGCAGCGAUGCCGCGUGAGUGAAGAAGGCCUUUGGGUUGUAAAGCUCUUUCGUCGGGGAAGAAAAUGACUGUACCCGAAUAAGAAGGUCCGGCUAACUUCGUGCCAGCAGCCGCGGUAAUACGAAGGGACCUAGCGUAGUUCGGAAUUACUGGGCUUAAAGAGUUCGUAGGUGGUCGAAAAAGUUGGUGGUGAAAUCCCAGAGCUUAACUCUGGAACUGCCAUCAAAACUUUUCAGCUAGAGUAUGAUAGAGGAAAGCAGAAUUUCUAGUGUAGAGGUGAAAUUCGUAGAUAUUAGAAAGAAUACCAAUUGCGAAGGCAGCUUUCUGGAUCAUUACUGACACUGAGGAACGAAAGCAUGGGUAGCGAAGAGGAUUAGAUACCCUCGUAGUCCAUGCCGUAAACGAUGUGUG